rnacentral:rRNA from 1 species
GAACGCUAGCUACAGGCUUAACACAUGCAAGUCGACGUUCAUCAGGAAGAAAGCUUGCUUUCUUUGCUGGCGACCGGCGCACGGGUGAGUAACACGUAUCCAACCUGCCCUUUACUCGGGGAUAGCCUUUCGAAAGAAAGAUUAAUACCCGAUAGCAUAAUGAUUCCGCAUGGUUUCAUUAUUAAAGGAUUCCGGUAAAGGAUGGGGAUGCGUUCCAUUAGGUUGUUGGUGAGGUAACGGCUCACCAAGCCUUCGAUGGAUAGGGGUUCUGAGAGGAGGGUCCCCCACAUUGGAACUGAGACACGGUCCAAACUCCUACGGGAGGCAGCAGUGAGGAAUAUUGGUCAAUGGGCGGUAGCCUGAACCAGCCAAGUAGCGUGAAGGAUGAAGGCUCUAUGGGUCGUAAACUUCUUUUAUAUAAGAAUAAAGUGCAGUAUGUAUACUGUUUUGUAUGUAUUAUAUGAAUAAGGAUCGGCUAACUCCGUGCCAGCAGCCGCGGUAAUACGGAGGAUCCGAGCGUUAUCCGGAUUUAUUGGGUUUAAAGGGAGCGUAGGUGGACUGGUAAGUCAGUUGUGAAAGUUUGCGGCUCAACCGUAAAAUUGCAGUUGAUACUGUCAGUCUUGAGUACAGUAGAGGUGGGCGGAAUUCGUGGUGUAGCGGUGAAAUGCUUAGAUAUCACGAAGAACUCCGAUUGCGAAGGCAGCUCACUGGACUGCAACUGACACUGAUGCUCGAAAGUGUGGGUAUCAAACAGGAUUAGAUACCCUGGUAGUCCACACAGUAAACGAUGAAUACUCGCUGUUUGCGAUAUACAGUAAGCGGCCAAGCGAAAGCAUUAAGUAUUCCACCUGGGGAGUACGCCGGCAACGGUGAAACUCAAAGGAAUUGACGGGGGCCCGCACAAGCGGAGGAACAUGUGGUUUAAUUCGAUGAUACGCGAGGAACCUUACCCGGGCUUAAAUUGCAGUGGAAUGAUGUGGAAACAUGUCAGUGAGCAAUCACCGCUGUGAAGGUGCUGCAUGGUUGUCGUCAGCUCGUGCCGUGAGGUGUCGGCUUAAGUGCCAUAACGAGCGCAACCCUUAUCUUUAGUUACUAACAGGUUAUGCUGAGGACUCUAGAGAGACUGCCGUCGUAAGAUGUGAGGAAGGUGGGGAUGACGUCAAAUCAGCACGGCCCUUACGUCCGGGGCUACACACGUGUUACAAUGGGGGGUACAGAAGGCAGCUAGCGGGUGACCGUAUGCUAAUCCCAAAAUCCUCUCUCAGUUCGGAUCGAAGUCUGCAACCCGACUUCGUGAAGCUGGAUUCGCUAGUAAUCGCGCAUCAGCCACGGCGCGGUGAAUACGUUCCCGGGCCUUGUACACACCGCCCGUCAAGCCAUGGGAGCCGGGGGUUCUAAAGGUACGUAACCGCAAGGAUCGUC